GUGUCGUAUAAAGGAGAGAAGCUUAGCUACCCUUUUGUCAAGGAUGGAAAAGGCCCUUGGGCCCGGAAAGUGCACAGGUGGCUAAGGCGUGGUCACCCACCUGGUGGCAUCUAAGCAUGGGUGUGA